CGAGCACGCGCGUGUGGCAUAUCAAUAAGCGGAGGAAAAGAAACUAACAAGGAUUCCCUUAGUAACGGCGAGUGAAGCGGGAAGAGCUCAAAUUUGAAAUCUUCAAGGUUCUACCUUGACGAAUUGUAGUUUAUAGAAGUGUUUUCUGUUAGUGGAGUGGCAAAAGUUCUUUGGAAUAGGACAUCAUAGAGGGUGAGAAUCCCGUAUUUGGUCAUUCCUCCUAGCGUUGUGAUACACUUUCAACGAGUCGGAUUGUUUGGGAAUGCAGUCCAAAAUGGGUGGUAAAUUUCAUCUAAAGCUAAAUAUUGGCGAGAGACCGAUAGCGAACAAGUACCGUGAGGGAAAGAUGAAAAGAACCUUGAAAAGAGAGUUAAACAGUACGUGAAAUUGUCAAAAGGGAAGCGUUUGACACCAGUGUUGUUUUUCCGAAAAUCAAUUACGAAUGUUUUGUUUUUGAGGAGUUAUGACUUCAUCGGCUUGCUCCUUUCUUUACGAAACUUUCUUAAUGCACUUUUCGGUUAACAAGUCAACAUCAAUUUCUUUUGUUGUAAAAGGGUAUGAGGGAGGUGGCUUUCUUUUCGGAGAAAGUGUUUAUAGCCUUGUGCCUCUACAAUCGGAGAGAUUGAGGUCUGCAGCGUAGAUCCUUCGGGGUUAGAUACGUUUGUGCUAAGUUACAGCUUUUCAUAGACAACUUGUUGACUAUGUUUAGUCUUGUAGCUUACUCGCUUAUGCUAUUUUACCUACGCUUAGGAUGUUGAGUAGCGACAUACGCAC
rnacentral:rRNA from 1 species